rnacentral:rRNA from 1 species
AACGCUAGCUACAGGCUUAACACAUGCAAGUCGAGGGGAAACGACAUCGAAAGCUUGCUUUUGAUGGGCGUCGACCGGCGCACGGGUGAGUAACGCGUAUCCAACCUGCCCACCACUUGGGGAUAACCUUGCGAAAGUAAGACUAAUACCCGAUGAUAUCUCUAGACGACAUCUGAAAGGGAUUAAAGAUUUAUCGGUGAUGGAUGGGGAUGCGUCUGAUUAGCUUGUUGGCGGGGUAACGGCCCACCAAGGCAACGAUCAGUAGGGGUUCUGAGAGGAAGGUCCCCCACAUUGGAACUGAGACACGGUCCAAACUCCUACGGGAGGCAGCAGUGAGGAAUAUUGGUCAAUGGACGCAAGUCUGAACCAGCCAAGUAGCGUGCAGGAUGACGGCCCUAUGGGUUGUAAACUGCUUUUAUGCGGGGAUAAAGUGUGGGACGUGUCCCAUAUUGCAGGUACCGCAUGAAUAAGGACCGGCUAAUUCCGUGCCAGCAGCCGCGGUAAUACGGAAGGUCCGGGCGUUAUCCGGAUUUAUUGGGUUUAAAGGGAGCGUAGGCCGUUGUUUAAGCGUGUUGUGAAAUGCCGCGGCUCAACCGUGGCACUGCAGCGCGAACUGAGAGGCUUGAGUGCACGCAACGCAGGCGGAAUUCGUGGUGUAGCGGUGAAAUGCUUAGAUAUCACGAAGAACUCCGAUUG